AGAGUUUGAUCCUGGCUCAGGCUGGCGGCGUGCCUAACACAUGCAAGUCGAGCGAUGAAGUUCCUUCGGGAAAUGGAUUAGCGGCGGACGGGUGAGUAACACGUGGGUAACCUGCCUUAUAGUGGGGGAUAGCCUUUCGAAAGGAAGAUUAAUACCGCAUAAGAUUGUAGUAUCGCAUGAUAUAGCAAUUAAAGGAGCAAUUCGCUAUAAGAUGGACCCGCGUCGCAUUAGCUAGUUGGUGAGGUAAUGGCUCACCAAGGCGACGAUGCGUAGCCGACCUGAGAGGGUGAUCGGCCACAUUGGGACUGAGACACGGCCCAGACUCCUACGGGAGGCAGCAGUGGGGAAUAUUGCACAAUGGGCGAAAGCCUGAUGCAGCAACGCCGCGUGAGUGAUGACGGCCUUCGGGUUGUAAAACUCUGUCUUCAGGGACGAUAAUGACGGUACCUGAGG
rnacentral:rRNA from 1 species